UACUAUAUAGUUUAAAUAAAUAAAACAUUAAUCUUGUAAAUUAAAAAUAAAUUUAUACUUAUUUUAUAGUAA
rnacentral:tRNA from 1 species